rnacentral:rRNA from 1 species
CAAUAGCGUAUAUUUAAGUUGUUGCAGUUAAAAAGCUCGUAGUUGGAUUUCGGUUAAGAGCGACCGGUCCGCCGUUUGGUGUGCACUGGUUGGUUUUAACUUCCUGUAGAGGACGUGCUCUGGGUUUAACGACCUGGACUCGGAGUCUACGUGGUUACUUUGAAAAAAUUAGAGUGUUCAAAGCGGGCUUACGCUUGAAUAUUUCAGCAUGGAAUAACACUAUAGGACUCCUGUCCUAUUUCGUUGGUCUCGGGACGGGAGUAAUGAUUAAGAGGAACAGUUGGGGGCAUUCGAAUUUCAUUGUCAGAGGUGAAAUUCUUGGAUUUAUGAAAGACGAACUUCUGCGAAAGCAUUUGCCAAGGAUGUUUUCAUUAA